rnacentral:rRNA from 1 species
UACGUAGGAGACGAGCGUUGUCCGGAAUUACUGGGCGUAAAGCGCGUGUAGGCGGAUGGGCAAGUCUGCUGUGAAAGCUCCUGGCUUAACCGGGAGUGGUCGGUGGAAACUGCCAAUCUGGAGGACGGUAGAGGUAGGUAGAAUUCCCGGUGUAGUGGUGAAAUGCGUAGAGAUCGGGAGGAAUACCUGUGGCGAAGGCGGCCUACUGGGCAGUAGCUGACGCUGAGGCGCGACAGCGUGGGGGAGCAAACAGG